GCCGUCUUAGCUCAGUUGGUUAGAGCGCUGGUUUGUGGUACCAGAGGUCGGUGGUUCGAACCCACCAGACGGUACCA
rnacentral:tRNA from 1 species